rnacentral:rRNA from 1 species
GAUAGACAUUAAGCAAUAAGCGAAAGCUCGACUUAGUUAGGGUUAAAAGGGCCGGUAAAACUCGUGCCAGCCACCGCGGUUAUACGAGGGGCCCAAAUUGAUGCAACACGGCGUAGAGUGUGAUUAGAGACAAAGACAAACUAAAGCCAAACACCCCCUAUACUGUCAUACGCCAUGGGGAGUAAGAAGCCCAGCAACGAAAGUGGCUUUAAAUAUCUUGAACUCACGACAGCUAAGGUACAAACUGGGAUUAGAUACCCCACUAUGCUUAGCCUUAAACCAAGGCGACAGGCCUACAAGCUUCGCCCGCCAGGGGACUACGAGCAAUAGCUUAAAACCCAAAGGACUUGGCGGUGCCUCAAACCCGCCUAGAGGAGCCUGUCCUAUAACCGAUAAUCCCCGUUAAACCUCACCCCUCCUUGUCAAUUCCGCCUAUAUACCGCCGUCGCCAGUUUACCUUAUGAAGGAACAACAGUAAGCAAAACGGGUAAUACCCCACACGUCAGGUCGAGGUGUAGCGAAUGGAGGGGGAAGAGAUGGGCUACAUUUUCUGGUGCAGAACACCACGAAAAGUGCAAUGAAAAAUGCACAAAUGAAGGUGGAUUUAGCAGUAAAAGAGAAAAAGAGAGUCUCUUUGAAACCGGCUCUGAGGCGCGUACACACCGCCCGUCACUCUCCUCGAAUAAAAACCAACAGUACAUAAAACCUUGAAAAAAAGAGAGGAGGCAA